CUACCUGCAGUCGAGCGGAUGAAGGGAGCUUGCUCCUGGAUUCAGCGGCGGACGGGUGAGUAAUGCCUAGGAAUCUGCCUGGUAGUGGGGGAUAACGUCCGGAAACGGGCGCUAAUACCGCAUACGUCCUGAGGGAGAAAGUGGGGGAUCUUCGGACCUCACGCUAUCAGAUGAGCCUAGGUCGGAUUAGCUAGUUGGUGGGGUAAAGGCCUACCAAGGCGACGAUCCGUAACUGGUCUGAGAGGAUGAUCAGUCACACUGGAACUGAGACACGGUCCAGACUCCUACGGGAGGCAGCAGUGGGGAAUAUUGGACAAUGGGCGAAAGCCUGAUCCAGCCAUGCCGCGUGUGUGAAGAAGGUCUUCGGAUUGUAAAGCACUUUAAGUUGGGAGGAAGGGCAGUAAGUUAAUACCUUGCUGUUUUGACGUUACCAACAGAAUAAGCACCGGCUAACUUCGUGCCAGCAGCCGCGGUAAUACGAAGGGUGCAAGCGUUAAUCGGAAUUACUGGGCGUAAAGCGCGCGUAGGUGGUUCAGCAAGUUGGAUGUGAAAUCCCCGGGCUCAACCUGGGAACUGCAUCCAAAACUACUGAGCUAGAGUACGGUAGAGGGUGGUGGAAUUUCCUGUGUAGCGGUGAAAUGCGUAGAUAUAGGAAGGAACACCAGUGGCGAAGGCGACCACCUGGACUGAUACUGACACUGAGGUGC
rnacentral:rRNA from 1 species